GACGAACGCUGGCGGCGUGCUUAACACAUGCAAGUCGAACGGAAAGGCCCUGCUUUUGUGGGGUGCUCGAGUGGCGAACGGGUGAGUAACACGUGAGUAACCUGCCCUUGACUUUGGGAUAACUUCAGGAAACUGGGGCUAAUACCGGAUAGGAGCUCCUGCUGCAUGGUGUGGGUUGGAAAGUUUCGGCGGUUGGGGAUGGACUCGCGGCUUAUCAGCUUGUUGGUGUGGUAGUGGCUUACCAAGGCUUUGACGGGUAGCCGGCCUGAGAGGGUGACCGGCCACAUUGGGACUGAGGUACGGCCAAGACUCCUACGGGAGGCAGCAGUGGGAAAUAUUGCACAAUGGGCGGAAGCCUGAUGCAGCAACGCCGCGUGCGGGAUGACGGCCUUCGGGUUGUAAACCGCUUUCGCCUGUGACGAAGCGUGAGUGACGGUAAUGGGCAAAGAAGCACCGGCUAACUACGUG
rnacentral:rRNA from 1 species